CCCCUCAGUACAGCUCAAACACCGAGCAUUACAUCAGGCCUGAAGAGGUGUAGCUGUAGCUGUAGUGGAUCGAGAUGGCAGACUCGCGGCUCCAACAUAUAACGGCUCCUUCCAUCGCUAGGCAGUUCAUGGAAAGAAUGUUAAGAAGGCUUCAGGAAGUUCUCCAACGUCAGCCAGUGGAUUUUGAUUAUUUAAAUUUUGUUUUAAGCCAUGAAAUGGAACUUGUGCAUUCUUUUGCUAAUGUAAUACAACUGCCACAAGA